GACGAACGCUGGCGGCACGCUUAACACAUGCAAGUCGAACGAGAGAAGAGAAGCUUGCUUUUCUGAUCUAUUGGCGGACGGGUGAGUAACACGUGAGCAAUCUGCCUUUCAGAGGGGGAUACCGAUUGGAAACGACCGUUAAUACCGCAUAACAUAAUUUAACCGCAUGAUUUGAUUAUCAAAGAUUUAUCUCUGAAAGAUGAGCUGGCGUCUGAUUAGCUAGUUGGUAAGGUAACGGCUUACCAAGGCGACGAUCAGUAGCCGGACUGAGAGGUUGAUCGGCCAAAUUGGGACUGAGACACGGCCCAGGCUCCUACGGGAGGCGGCAGCGGGGAAUAUUGGCCAAUGGAGGAAACUCUGAUGCAGCGAUGCCGCGUGAGGGAAGAAGGUUUUAGGAUUGUAAACCUCUGUCUUCAGGGACGAAAAAAGACGGUACCUAAGGAGGAAGCUCCGGCUAACUACGUG
rnacentral:rRNA from 1 species